AUUGAACGCUGGCGGCAGGCCUAACACAUGCAAGUCGAACGGUAACAGAAAGCAGCUUGCUGCUUUGCUGACGAGUGGCGGACGGGUGAGUAAUGUCUGGGAAACUGCCUGAUGGAGGGGGAUAACUACUGGAAACGGUAGCUAAUACCGCAUAACGUCGCAAGACCAAAGAGGGGGACCUUCGGGCCUCUUGCCAUCGGAUGUGACCAGAUGGGAUUAGCUAGUAGGUGGGGUAACGGCUCACCUAGGCGACGAUCCCUAGCUGGUCUGAGAGGAUGACCAGCCACACUGGAACUGAGACACGGUCCAGACUCCUACGGGAGGCAGCAGUGGGGAAUAUUGCACAAUGGGCGCAAGCCUGAUGCAGCCAUGCCGCGUGUAUGAAGAAGGCCUUCGGGUUGUAAAGUACUUUCAGCGGGGAGGAAGGGAGUAAAGUUAAUACCUUGGCUCAUUGACGUUACCCGCAGAAGAAGCACCGGCUAACUCCGUG
rnacentral:rRNA from 1 species